AGAACGAACGCUGGCGGCAUGCCUAACACAUGCAAGUCGAACGAGACCUUCGGGUCUAGUGGCGCACGGGUGCGUAACGCGUGGGAAUCUGCCCUUGGGUUCGGGAUAACAGUUGGAAACGACUGCUAAUACCGGAUGAUGACUUCGGUCCAAAGAUUUAUCGCCCAGGGAUGAGCCCGCGUAGGAUUAGCUAGUUGGUGAGGUAAAGGCUCACCAAGGCGACGAUCCUUAGCUGGUCUGAGAGGAUGAUCAGCCACACUGGGACUGAGACACGGCCCAGACUCCUACGGGAGGCAGCAGUGGGGGAAUAUUGGACAAUGGGCGAAAGGCCUGAUCCAGCAAUGCCGCGUGAGUGAUGAAGGUCCUUAGGUUGUAAGCUUCUUUACCGGGAUGAUAAUGAACAGUAACCGGAAAAUACGACCCCGGCUAAACGUCCGUAGCCCAGGCCAGCCGAC
rnacentral:rRNA from 1 species